rnacentral:rRNA from 1 species
AGAAUCAACGCUGGCGGCGUGCCUAACACAUGCAAGUCGAACGAGAAAGUGGAGCAAUCCAUUAGUAAAGUGGCGCACGGGUGAGUAACACGUGACUAACCUACCCUUGAGUGGGGGAUAACCUAGGGAAACCUGGGCUAAUACCGCAUAAUACCUUCGGGUCAAAGGAGCAAUUCGCUUAAGGAGGGGGUCGCGGCCGAUUAGUUAGUUGGCGGGGUAAUGGCCCACCAAGACUAUGAUCGGUAUCCGGCCUGAGAGGGCGCACGGACACACUGGAACUGAAACACGGUCCAGACUCCUACGGGAGGCAGCAGUGGGGAAUUUUGCGCAAUGGGGGAAACCCUGACGCAGCAACGCCGCGUGGAGGAUGAAGUCCCUUGGGACGUAAACUCCUUUCGAUCGGGACGAUAAUGACGGUACCGAGAGAAGAAGCCCCGGCUAACUUCGCGCCAGCAGCCGC